rnacentral:sRNA from 1 species
AGUUAUUUUGGCUGUGACAUCUUCUGCCAGGACUGGGCUGUUAUGACUGUCUGGGCAGUGUCCCCUUCCUUCCUGAUUGCUCUUUGUCAUCCCUCCCCAAGCUGCAUUCUGUUUUGAAGAAGGUGACCUUUCCCCCACAGAGGAGGAACAAUCUUCUGCUGUACUGUCAAGGGGAUACAAGCAGUUAGGCUCCUUGCCUGAACCAUCAAACAAGUUCUCAAAAUGCCUGGAACUAGUCUGCUUAUUGUUCAGUUUUCAUUGAAACCUUUCACCCAAAAUUAUAGAACACUGUUUAUGUGUCAAAUAUU